rnacentral:rRNA from 1 species
CGCGUGCACUGGUCCGGCCGGGCCUUUCCUUCUGUGGAACCCCAUGCCCUUCACUGGGUGUGGCGGGGAAACAGGACUUUUACUUUGAAAAAAUUAGAGUGCUCCAGGCAGGCCUAUGCUCGAAUACAUUAGCAUGGAAUAAUAAAAUAGGACGUGUGGUUCUAUUUUGUUGGUUUCUAGGACCGCCGUAAUGAUUAAUAGGGACAGUCGGGGGCAUCAGUAUUCAGUUGUCAGCGGUGAAAUUCUUAGAUCUACUGAAGACUAACUACUGCGAAAGCAUUUGCCAAGGAUGUUUUCAUUAAUCAGGAACGAAAGUUAGGGGAUCGAAGACGAUCAGAUACCGUCGUAGUCUUAACCAUAAACUAUGCCGACUAGGGAUCGGACGAUGUUAUUUUUUGACUCGUCCGGCACCUUACGAGAAAUCAAAGUGCUUGGGCUCCAGGGGGAGUAUGGUCGCAAGGCUGAAACUUAAAGAAAUUGACGGAAGGGCACCACCAGGGGUGGAGCCUGCGGCUUAAUUUGACUCAACACGGGGAAACUCACCAGGUCCAGACACAAUAAGGAUUGACAGAUUGAGAGCUCUUUCUUGAUUUUGUGGGUGGUGGUGCAUGGCCGUUCUUAGUUGGUGGAGUGAUUUGUCUGCUUAAUUGCGAUAACGAACGGGACCUUAACCUGCUAACUAGCCCGUAUUGCUCAGGCAGUACGCCGGCUUCUUAGAGGGACUAUCGG